CCUGCCUCAGCCUCCCAAGUGCUGGGAUUACAGUAAUUAACUCACACGACUGGGCCAGCCCGACCAAGUCUAAGUUGACCCAGGGAAGACCCACAGCCUGAGUCUGAAGGCCAUCUGGAGGUGGAAUGCCUUCUUCCUCCAAGGACCUCAGUCUUUCUCUCUUAAAGCCUUCGACUGAUCAGACAAGGCCUAUCUAUGUCACGGAGGGCAAUGUUGGAUGUCACAACAUGGCUGCUGACGCUCCAGAAAUCGAGAUCUCAGACAACAAUGUGCAGAGCAGGAAGAGAGAAUGAUCGAAAGAUCUUUUCCUGGCCCACCUCUCUCUUAGUAGGAAGAUAGUCUUCCCAGAAUCUCCCAGCAGACUUUGCUUUAUGUUUAAUUGUCCAAAACUGGGUCACAUGGUCACCUGGGGGCCACUCAUUUGCUGGGACUACAGAA